GAUGAACGCUGGCGGCGUGCCUAAUACAUGCAAGUCGAGCGAACAGACGAGGAGCUUGCUCCUCUGACGUUAGCGGCGGACGGGUGAGUAACACGUGGAUAACCUACCUAUAAGACUGGGAUAACUUCGGGAAACCGGAGCUAAUACCGGAUAAUAUAUUGAACCGCAUGGUUCAAUAGUGAAAGACGGUUUUGCUGUCACUUAUAGAUGGAUCCGCGCCGCAUUAGCUAGUUGGUAAGGUAACGGCUUACCAAGGCAACGAUGCGUAGCCGACCUGAGAGGGGGAUCCGCCACACUGGAACUUGGACACGGUCCAGGCUCCUAAGGGAGGCAGCAGUAGGGAAUCUUCCGCAAUGGGCGGAAGCUUGACGGAGCAACGCCGCGUGAGGGGUGAAGGUCUUCGGAUCGGAAAACCCUUUUAAUAGGGAAGAACAAAUGUGUAAGUAACUAUGCACGUCUUGACGGUACCUAAUCAGAAAGCCACGGCUAACUACGUG
rnacentral:rRNA from 1 species